rnacentral:rRNA from 1 species
GAGAAUUGGCUACUACAUCUAAAGAAGGCAGCAGGCGCGCAAAUUACCCAAUCCCGAUUCGGGGAGGUAGUGACAAAAAAUAACAAUACCGGGCCUUUUUGGGCUUGGUAAUUGGAAUGAGGGAGAGUUAAACGGACCAUCGAGUAUCCAUUGGAGGGCAAGUCUGGUGCCAGCAGCUGCGGUAAUACCAGCUCCAAUAGCGUAUAUUAAAGUUGUUGCAGUUAAAAAGCUCGUAGUUGGACUUGUGUGCGCUGUCCGCGGGUGGCCUGCGCCCAAAAGGGCGUUUCGGUUCGGCCCCGGUGGCGCCUUGAAAUCUGCAGCUGGGGGGACGUUGGCCUUAACUGGUCGGCGACCGCACGCCGGCUGCUCGGUUACUGUGAGAAAAUUAGAGUGUUCAAGGCAGGCAUUGGGUGCAAUUGAAUACAUUAGCAUGGAAUAAUAAAAUAUGGCUCCUGCUGUAUUUUGUUGGUUUUGACUGGUGGGAGUAAUGAUUGAUAGGGACGGUUGGGGGUGCUAGUAUUGAGCGGCCAGAGGUGAAAUUCAUGGAUUCGCUCAAGACUAACUUAUGCGAAAGCAUUCACCAAGGACGUCCUCUUUAAUCAAGAACGAAAGUUGGGGGAUCGAAGACGAUCAGAUACCGUCGUAGUCUCAACCAUAAACUAUGUCGACUUGGGAUCGGCGGUAGUUUUUUCAUUAAGACACUGUCGGGACCACGGGAGAAAUCAAAGUGUCUGGACUCUGGGGGAAGUAUGGUCGCAAGGCUGAAACUUGAAGGAAUUGACGGAAGGGCACCACCAGGAGUGGAGCCUGCGGCUUAAUUUGACCCAACACGGGGAAACUUACCAGGUCCAGAGAUGUAGAGGAUUGACAGAUUGAAGCUCUUUCUUGAUCACUUCGGUGGUGGUGCAUGGCCGUUCUUAGUUGGUGGAGUGAUUUGUCUGGUUAAUUCCGUUAACGAACGAGACCUCAGCCUGCUAGUGUAGUCGGCUGGAUUGCCUUUGGCGAUCCGUGAUUUCGACUUCUUAGAGGGACAAUCGACGCGCAGUCGAUGGAAGUUUGAGGCAAUAACAGGUCUGUGAUGCCCUUAGAUGUUCUGGGCCGCACGCGCGCUACACUGCUGGGCUCAGCGAGUUUUACUUGGCCGAAAGGCCCGGUUAAUCUUGUGAAAUCCCAGCGUGCUUGGGCUCGCCUCCUGCAACUGGAGGCGCCAACGAGGAAUUCCUAGUAGACGCAGGUCAUCAACCUGCAUCGAUUACGUCCCUGCCCUUUGUACACACCGCCCGUCGUUCCAUAAGAGUGAGGCAUCCGGUGAAUUCUCGGGAGAGCCUGGGCGUGGCCAGCAAUGGUCUGCUCGGGUUUGAACUUGCAUAAACUUGGUGCCUAUGAUUAGGGAAAAGUCGUAACAAGGUU